CAGGAGAGUCCAGAAGAGACCAGGAAGUCCAGGAGAGUCCAGGAGAGUCCAGGAGAGUCCAGAAGAGUCCAGGAGAGUCCAGGAGAGUCCAGAGGAGUCUAGAAGAGUCCAGGAGAGUCCAGAAGAG